GACGAACCGAGCGAACGUUGUUCGGAAUCACUGGGCUUAAAGGGCGCGUAGGCGGGCUGCCGCGUCCGGGGUGAAAUCCCACGGCUCAACCGUGGAACUGCCCCGGAUACGGGCGGCCUCGGAGGGGGUAGGGCAUCUGGAACUGUGAGUGGAGCGGUGAAAUGCGUUGAUAUUCACAGGAACUCCGGUGGCGAAGGCCGAGGUGCUGGACCCCUCCUC
rnacentral:rRNA from 1 species